GUCCACGCCGUAAACUAUGAAUGCUAGCUAUUGGCGAUACACAGUCAGUGGCACAGAGAAAUCGUUAAGCAUUCCACCUGGGGAGUACGCCGGCAACGGUGAAACUCAAAGGAAUUGACGGGGGCCCGCACAAGCGGAGGAACAUGUGGUUUAAUUCGAUGAUACGCGAGGAACCUUACCCGGGUUUGAACGCAGGGGGAAUAUGGUUGAAAGAUCAUAGCUAGCAAUAGCCGCCUGCGAGGUGCUGCAUGGUUGUCGU
rnacentral:rRNA from 1 species